rnacentral:lncRNA from 1 species
GAUAGGCUUGAAUGAGCAUGGAAUGUAUCUAUUUAAAAAGCAGCUGGAAGUCUGUCAAGUGCAUUCUGGAAAUGGAUUCAGGCUAACAGAGUGUUCUGAAUAGAGACGCCUAAAACAAGAGCCAAAGACAUAGCAAUGGAGAACGUGGGUGGUACAGCCCUCCACCCUGGCGAGCAGCACAUUAGAAUCACGUAGGAGCUUAAAAAGUACUGACUGGCCUGGUCUUUUUCGGUGUGAAGGUGGGAUGCAGGCUUCCUGGGGUUAUCCUCUCGUACAGCCAGAGUUGAGAACCAUCUGAGUAGCGCUUGUCACACUUCUGGCCACAUCAGAAUCGUCUGAGGGACUUGUUCACUGCAGGUUGCUGGGUCCCAUCUCUAGCCUCUGAUCCAGUAGCCUGGGGUGGGGCACAGGAUGUCCUGCUGCUGGGGUCUGGGCAGCGCUAUGAGAACUGCUGACGUUGGAGCUCGAUCAGGUGGUCCCUCACUCCCUGACCCAGGGCAUUUGCUGCUUCCUGUCUCUGCCAUUCUUUUCUCAACCUGGGGCACUUGCUUUUCUCGCUAUGCUGCCCUGCCCUUUGCUGAGGCCUGGGCUAUCCCUGGCAGGGUGCAGAAAAAAAAUUUUUAAGUUACUUUUCUCAGCCCAAAGGAGACUGGAAUGCUUCACAAGGGAUUCUACUUGACAGGCAAUUGGACCACCCAAAUGGCAAACUAAAAGCAUAGAAGCGGACACCAGAGGCUCCUGGACCUGAGAUGUGGCCCUGGAAGUGACCAGAUGUGGUCUCAAGAGAUGGGGGCCCAGGGCUAGGAAUGCCGCCAUCCGGGGAGGCCCUAGAGCAGAGCAGAGCAGCUGUGGGCUGGUGCCAAGCUCACUCCUGCUUCUCUCUGCACGUCUCCCUCAUUCUUUUCUCUCUGAACUGUGACCCUUUUGGCCCCUCUGAGUACCAGGUGGGACAAGGUGACCCCUCAGCACUUGAGUUUACACCUUAGAUGUGUAGGUCCUCACAGAGGCCAACUUAUCUCCUUCUGGGACCAAAUUCCAAAUUCCUAAAGAAAAAACAAACCAAAAACGGAUAUGAUAAACCUAUCUCAGUGGUCAGCCCCUGGGGCGCAAACAUUCCCCUGAGUCAGGGAAGGGUGACUGUAACACAGGUAUCAUUAUGAUUUAGGUGUGGCAAGACUAGCAGGUCAGGGGUGCCUGCCAUUGAAAAGACUGUCAUACAGUUCCCAGGUGGAAGGGGUGUGCCAGGAGGGGCAGCCAGAAGGCAGAUGGAGGGAAGCUGCCUUUAUGGUGUUUCUGCUGGGAGGCACAGGUGCGGUGGAGGAAGCAGGCUUAGGAUUGGUUCGUGUGAAUGUCUUCAGUGGGCUCUGGUUAUCUGGUACCUGGCCCGGGGUGAUGAGGGUAGAUAGAGGCCCAGAAGGUGAGAGCCUAAUACCCAGAGCGGUCGGGGGGGUGGGUAGGCUCAGGGCUGGUUGGUUUGGGAAGCAUGUUUGUGGGCCCGUUGGUUACCGUCUCAAGGAAUGGGCUAGGCCUGGGUGUGGCUGUCCUUCUAGGAUCAGCAAGGCAGCAAAUAUCAAAGCACCAGAAUACACAAAGUAAAAGACUGCAUUAAUACAGGGUAGUUUACAAAGAAAUGGGAAAUUGUUGGUUCUGAGCUGGGUGGGGAUUGAAACGGUGUUCCCUGCAGAUCCAUUUAAAGUCUCUCUGUAAAUACGCGUUGGUGUGUAACUGUUCCUUGUCUCUAACCUCAGCCAGCCCCUCCCAUGCCAGGUGAGGGGUCUUCCCACCUCCCUUUUCCUCUCUGGGUGUCCCUCCAUUAUGAUCUGGGGACCAAGGCUGGCUGUAGCAGUGUGCCUCCAUGGCCUAGGGCGGUUGGCAAAUGCAAUUUCUUCGGCAGUGCUGGAUAAAGUGGGAUGAUGCAGUGACCACACAGAAUGUCAUUUCUGAUGAAAGCUGGCAUGCCAGCCCGUGACAGGACACAGAGGAGCGUGGAUUCCCCUUCAUGGUUGACUUCAGCCAAGGCCAUCAUCCCCGCUGCCAAAGCCUGCCCUGAUUGCCUGCCCUGGGGGAGAGAAGUGUUUUGAAGAUGACAAAUCAAAGUCAGGUCCUGCAUGGAGUUUGCGUGCCUGACAGCCUGGCUAGCACAGGAGGACAUGCAGGUGGAAUUUGUGCAAGCCUGUUAUUUUCUGUAACACAAUACACACUGAGAAGGCAAUGGGUACCUUGGACCCUGCAGGCCAAUUCAAGCACCAUCACUACUUUUCAGAAGUGUGGGGCAUAGAUGUCAACUGAGCCUAGCAAGAUGUCCUAUGUUACCAAGAGACUAUUAGAAAGCAGAGCAGGUCUCAAGAUUCAAUGAAACAAUUGCCUGGAAGCUGGAAGAUAAUAUGGAAGCUAGGGAUAUAAUAGAGUAUGUUGCUGGGAACGGUGGCUCCUGCCUGUAAUCGCAGCACUUUGGGAGGCUGAGGUAGGGGGGAUCACUUGAGCCCAGGAGUUGGAGGCCAGCCUGGGCAACACAGCAAGACCCCAUUUCUAUAAAUA